rnacentral:rRNA from 1 species
AUGAACGCUGGCGGCGUGCUUAACACAUGCAAGUCGAACGAAGCACCUCUAAUCGAAGAUUGAGAAAGCUUGCUUUGAUUGAUUCACCUUGAGGUGACUGAGUGGCGGACGGGUGAGUAACGCGUGGGUAACCUACCCUAUACAGGGGGAUAACAGUUGGAAACGACUGCUAAUACCGCAUAAGCGCACAGGACCGCAUGGUCUAGUGUGAAAAACUCCGGUGGUAUAGGAUGGACCCGCGUCUGAUUAGCUAGUUGGUGAGGUAACGGCUCACCAAGGCGACGAUCAGUAGCCGACCUGAGAGGGUGACCGGCCACAUUGGGACUGAGACACGGCCCAAACUCCUACGGGAGGCAGCAGUGGGGAAUAUUGCACAAUGGGCGAAAGCCUGAUGCAAGCGACGCCGCGUGAACGAAGAAGUACUUCGGUAUGUAAAGUUCUAUCAGCAGGGAAGAAAAAUGACGGUACCUGACUAAGAAGCUCCGGCUAAAUACGUGCCAGCAGCAGC